rnacentral:rRNA from 1 species
UACGAAGGGGGCGAGCGUUGUUCGGAUUUACUGGGCGUAAAGGGCGCGCAGGCGGCUCAUUUUGUCAGGCGUGAAAGCCCCGGGCUUAACCUGGGAACUGCGUUUGAUACGGAUGGGCUAGAGUUCGGGAGAGGAGAGUGGAAUUCCCAGUGUAGAGGUGAAAUUCGUAGAUAUUCGGAGGAACACCAGUGGCGAAGGCGGCUCACUGGUCCGGUACUGACGCUGAGGUGCGAAAGCGUGGGGAGCAAACAGG